UUUGUCUUAGAGCACUAACGUUUCACUGUUGUUGUCAUUCAGUCUGUGUUUCUUGUGAGAUAACGCUAAAUUUACAUUUCGAAUAAGAUUAAUAAGAAACUUUGUGCAAAGGCCACAUCCGAGCCCCGUUCCAUCUCAAGCUCUCUGAGUCCACUCGCUAACUACCCCGCAUUGCCCAUUUACUUAUUUCUCCCAAUCUUAUAACUAAAGUGCAGCUACCCACAGAGGUCCAGUGUAAGCUUAAUCAUUGUACGGCAGCGAAGUUUGGUAGAUAUUCUAACGUGUUGAUGCGGAGUCGAUUUACGUGGAAAAAUUAGUUCCAGUUUUGUCCACCAGGUGCAAAUCUGGCGCAAUGAAUGCAAGAAAGACGUAUAAAAAUCUUUUCAUAUAUAAUGGAUUAGAAAUGGGACACGGGUAGAAAAGGUGAAACAAGAGAGAAAGGCACAAUGUUGAUUUUAUUAGUAACUGCCACUUACACAAUGUGUUCAAUAUGAGCACUAGAGACAUUAACGAAUGUUGUACAGCGCCAGAUUUGCACCUGGUGACCAAAACAGAAAUUAAUUUUUUUUACAGCGUAAAUCGGUUCCGCAUUAACAUAUGAGCAUAUCUGGCAAGUUUCGCUGCAUAUGAUAAUUAAGCUCACACUGUACCUCCGUGAGCAGCUCCAUUUCAGUUAAAACCGCCCGAUACUAUCUAGAAACAGUUUUGACUAAAAUUGCUGCAGGCAUUCCAGAGCUGUACUGGAACAUACACAUAUACAUCUAAUUUUAUACACAGAGAGAGCAAAAUAUUUCGCUCACAGUGCCACAUAUUCAGUUACAAACGCAAAAGUUUUGUCCUCCAAUUCCUUGUAUCACUAAGUGACAUUGCAACCAGAUUUAAUAAAAUCGAGAAGUGAGUGUUCCCGUGCGCCAGGAAGAAAGAGCAACUGGACUGCAAAAUUUGCCCUCGCUGUUGACAGUAUUUUUCCUACAGCUCUUGCUCGGUUUUUCUCCUUAUAGCUUCAACUUCGCGUGCCAUAAGACUGUAUGCACUUCUUACUGUCGACAACAUGGUGUCCACAAGUUCUUACACGAUCACUCGCUCUCCACAAUUAAAUGAGUUUUUCCCAUAUCUUUCCAAUAUCAUCUUGUAACAUCUGGACUUUAGUGUGUUGCGUCAAACAUCUGUGGUAGAAUGAUAUAUCCGGAGUUUAACGCUCUUCAGUGUCUCAUUAAAUAGUUUACUUAUUCCAUUAUUUUGUGAACAGCAAGUCUAUAAGGGGAAAAAAUGAUAAUGAUUCUUGAGUUGGGUGCAGUCUUCGAAAUAAUUUUCCUCCAUUUCGACUCAUGCUGUACAUAGAUUCUUUGACAACACUCUUCUAAGCGCUGCUCCUUAUUUACCAAUUAGUAAAUCAUAUGUCUUAGCCGUAGGAAACAAAAAAUGAUCGAGUAUAAACCUUAGCUUUUCAGUUAAAUCAUGAAUAUUGUCUACAUUUGGCAUCCAGUGACCAUGCUAGAAUGGAUGCUCUGUCCUCUCUUUCCAUCGAUCAUUCAUUUAAUACCUCCUGUAAGUUUCAAAAUUCGGGGUCAUCAGCGCAUGGUACUCUCUCCACAUUCAGCUUACGAGCUGGAAGCAUACACAGUGGAUGUCAUAGAGAGCAUGAUGUUAUUGGGCUUCGAUGUCGCUUUUCAAGCCAUUAUAUUUCAUUGAUGGAUGUUGCCAUGACAACUGAAUAAGGUUGAAAUACGUCUUUCCUGUCACAAACCAUUACUGCGUUGCUUAAAUAAUCUUUUUUUUAGUUGUAUUUACUUCACAGAGAGACUAAAGUUGGUCUGUUGAUACUAAUAAAGACUUAGUGACCACAGAUCACACAAUCAGCUACAAGUAUGCGUUUUAAAACACCAGCCGACUGGUUAUCGGACUAUUCUUUCUACCUUAUUCAGUAUGUAAACCAUGGUCGUGAAUACUAAAUAGCAAACGGUAAUCUGAUCCAAUGACCGUACCAGACCGUUCGUGUUGUAUUAGCUAUACACAGUGUACCAAAUCUCUGUCGUUGCGCUCAUGUCUCCCCCUUAUUAUGUCGGUUUUCAUGCUUUAUCUUCCACCCUUCUCCAUUAGGUUUAGAUGUCUCCUUUCCAUUCCUAUUGAAUGUGCAGAUAGUGUCACCAGUGCCAUCUGGCGGCUCGAACUUUAAAUAUGAAGCAUUAUAGGAAAUAAGACCAUUACUGAUCAGAAUAUUAAUGCCCACCAAAAAAUAAAUAGUUUCUCACAGGUUAACGUCAAACUGAUGAUAAUUAGAGACCGAGAUAUAGGAGGAAAAAGAGAUAAUGCAUAAAACACGACAUUAUUGGCUGCUAGAUGGUAUUAGUGUCAACUAUCGCAAGAUACUUGCCAAAGGAUGUGCUAUGGUUUCAUGUGCCACUACAGGCAGGAAACGGAGUCGAGAAAGGAAUGCUGUUAUACAUCCAUCAAAAUUACUUUUAAGACUUCUUGGAGAAGCAUCAAAGUAUGUGCUUUUUACAAUCUUGAUAUUUUUGACAUAAACCGAUCUUCUGGAGCUAUAAAAUAUAUUUCAGAUCUUAAUAUCACAGGAGCACUUCUCUUCUCCUUGCCCACUGUUUAUUUCAUUUGGGUACCGUCUCUGACGCCAAACACAUAAAAAGAGGGAAAGCGAAAGAAUGCUAUUAUCUACAUUAUGAUACAACGUUUCAAACAAUUUUCUAAAUUAUUCGUGUGCUAAAUAACUAAACUCAUAAAAUAACGUUCUUACAAAAUAUGAAAUUCCAGUUCGUUAUACCCCCUAAAUAUUUCGACCACUUGUCUUCAGUCGGCAUGUACACGAACAUCCUUGCAUCGAUCAGAAUCUGAUAUUUUCGACAUUAAAGAUAUUGCGAAAGAGGAAAAAGUAUUUUUAAUACGAGAAUAAGCAGGGGAGUCUAUUUAUUGUCGUUAUCCCAGUCAAGUCAUGCAUUGUUCCGCUUCAAAAAUAUAACGAGCCAGUUUGAAAACAUGUUGAAAAAAAAAACACAGAAAAUUGUACAUUAAGGUACUACAACACAGUUGAUAAAUAUUUGUGUUGUUGCAUGUUACAAAUAUGUAGUCUGGUUCAAUUAAGAAAUACGAAACUAGAGUGAAAGAAAAGGAGUGGGACGAUUUGACAAUACUUUAUAUGAAUUAAUGUAAUUAUUGUGGAUAGAGGAUUGUUAUAAUUUACGUAUCAUGAGUAGUAAUUAGGAUUUAGAUAAUAAUACUUUUUGUAUCAAUAUGUGUACAAAACUGAAAAUAAAUUUUGUUAACUA